CCUGUCCUAUCAACGGAGGGUGGACUAUAUAAGAAUCAACGAAGCUGUCACUAUCGCGAACUACCACACGACUCGGUCAAUAGGAUACAUUUGUAGAUAAAUAACAUCUAAGCACCACGCUCACAUGUGAUCUAUCACCUAACUCCCUCGCGUCAAGAGCUAAGCGCUUUGCAAACUUAUACAUAAACUCAUUAUCAGUUAGAACUAUAUCAAAUAUAGAACUAGAGCAAACUAAGAGCAUAAUAAUUAGAGACAUAAUGCAAUUAGAACAAUAGAAUUAGAGAAAGAUAUGAAUAAUACCAAUCUUUAUUACCGAAAAUCCG
rnacentral:lncRNA from 1 species